GAAGCAACCAACAUUACAUUUCAUAGAUUACGUGGAUAGUAAAAUAUUUGGUUUCAAUUAAUCAAACAUAGUAAUCGUAUUUUCAUUUUGACAAAUUUAAAUCAGUCAUAUUGACAUUACCCCAGUUUUAGAAUUCCAUUUAGUCAAACGUAAAUAAAUUCAUUUGCAAUUAAAUGUUCAAACUUAAUCUAUAAGGUAUUCACAGAUCUGACAGUUUCCGUAUCAUGUAUCAAUUCUUCUUAAGAAUGAUCCUCUCGCACCAGCAAGUGUUCUAGAUGCAAUAUUCGCACACUCUCCAACAAUUCGGUUUUCCAAAUGUUUCCGAUCAACAAUAGGUGCACUAUAAAACUUUUUCUUAAGCACUCCUCAUACGAAAUAAUCAAAAGGCGUCAUAUCGGGACUUCUAGAGAGCCAAGAAUACACGGAACUCCUUCCUAUCCCACCUAUUUUCAUUAAUAAUAACUGCAACAACUGUAGCUCCAUUUUCAGCUGAUGUUGCUACUCUUCUUUUAUUUCUUUUAAUUGGAGGCCAUUUUUCCCGCAGUCUAUUUUCAACGUGUUUGAAAACUCACUCGGAGCCCGUUUAUUUGUAUAUUAUACGUGUAUAAAUUUGCAGCAUACGAAGCAUUUUUCAAAUAUUCUCCAUAAAUGAGAACCAUUGCUAAACAUUUUACUACAAAGUUAUACUAAACUUAAUUACAAAUUCAGCAAGGCUUGGACACUUGGCUGCGAACAGCACGUGCGAACUUUGUCCCGACGUAGACUUACCCACAAGUCUCUUGGGUACGACCGAAACUUCGGCGCCGGUGUCGACUAGAUACCGAAUUCUUGAUUUUUGGUCAGUAAUAAAAAGGCGGUUUUGCUGCGAAUCUGCUCCGUCACACAUCGCCUCCACUGCUGACGGGCCUUCUAGUUUCCCUGCUGGGAGAACUUGCAGGGUUGCCUGCAUUUCUUUGCCUUUCUCCCGAACCGGUUGUGGUAGAAGCACAAACCUUCUUCGCCGCUACGUGAUAGGCUCCUACCGCGUUCCCUCGAAUUCGAACGGUCUCUCCCGAACCGGCGCCCUCUGUCGGUGGAAAGCUGUUCCACCAAGGUCGUGAGCGCAGCUAUUUCGCGGCGCAUGGUUUGCAGCUCGGCUCUGGUGCCGUUGUGUGCGACGGCGUUAAAUGGCGUUGCUGCGGCGUCUGUAAUGGCGGCAAUGGAACCUGACGCCAUUGCAUUUGCCGAAUGGAUUUCCGUGAGCUUAUCUGCUACGCUCGCCAUCUUCUCGAGCCCGGUGCCAUUGCCGUCUCGAACUCCAGGCCUGCAUGUUGACAUUGUGACGUCACAGUAAGAGUCUAAGUGAUCAUAACCUAACUUUGUGAAUUUUUGAAAAAAAUUAAUUUUAACUAUGUUGCGCCCAACGUUUUAUGCAAGAAACGACGGAAAAGUGUAUCUAAAGAAUCCUGAUACUGCAAAUGUGGUCAACGAUCGGUCAACUAUAAUUUUUAUAGUGACAUACGUUGUGAUUUAAAGUAGCUUAUCCGUUUGUUAUUACCCGAAAAACAUAUAAUAAAGUUUAUAUUUUUUGAUAGCUUAAACCGUCUAGCCGUGCUUAAACAUCUAAAGUUACGUCCAUUAAUAGAAACAUUCUCCUUACGGGCCUAAAUUUUGAAUAACCGCGAUAUAAAGAUGACCGUUUUAUCCAAGUUUUAACACAGGUUCUUAUGGAAUGCAACAUGUUAUUAUUCGCUAUAUAUGUUUUAAAUUAGUCGUAAAAGUGUGAUCGAAAGUAUAAGAAUAUAACGAAGAAUUUUACGUAGAUCAUCGUAAGAUAAAAAAAAAUGAUAUGGGUUUUUAGGUUUUAUUUACUUAUUGUAAGUAUUUAACUUUCUUUUGUUAUUACUUGUAGUAGUAACAAUAUUUGAUUUGAUUUUUGUAUAGUUAUUAAGUAGAAUAUUAGCCCAAACAGAAAUUGAUUUAUUUAACAGUGUCUGCGAACUUUGGCCACAUUUACACUCAGGCAAAGGAAAAUUUUCUAACAAUUCGAGUACCAAAGUUCGCAGCACUGCUUUCUGCUUCGUUAUACGAAGAAAAUUCGCUUCAAAUUUUGCACAUGUAAGUACCGUGAAUACUUUGUAUGCCACUUCUCCAAUGUGGGUGGAAAAUUGGGUGGGAUAUUUUAAUCCCCCUCUGUUUAGAUGUUGAGUAUAUAUAAGUGCAUCAGCUGAACCUUCAAAAUCAUAUGUAAGAUUUGUUUUCGUAAUUAACAGCGUUACACAGCUCUUACAUUUACAACUACAUGAAACUUUAUACCCUACAUACCCCGCUAUAAAAACUAAGCUCUCCAGUGUACUAAAAGAUAUGUUAAUAUUAUUACAAUCAGAAAUAAUAUCGUCCAUGUAUGCAACUACAAACGUGUCUCUUUUAUUUAAUUCCUCAUCCUCUAUAUUAUUAAUUUCUUUUAUCAUUUCCUUUAUCUGAAUUUUAUUGGUGUUUAACCGCAACAAACUUUUAACUUUGAUUUUUUUUUCAGACUCAAGAAUUUGUUUUACAGACACGUUGUAAUUGCACCCACUAAGUUUCCGAUAUUGCCCAAAUCGACGUUCUAAUACAUCUGUUUGUAGAUUUCCUAACAAUACAUAUUUUAAAUUUAAGUUAUAUAAAAGAUAUUCACUUAACAAUAUCAAAUUACUUGUGGGACGCCUACAAUUACAAUAUCUUCCCAUUUUUUAAGCCAGGACACAAAGGCCUGCAAGAAUUGAAGACCUAGACUACAUGAACUAAUGAUUGGAUUGGCAUAAAUGUCCCGCAAGUGUUUGCCUUUGCUAGGGUGUUUUACGUUAACUACCCUCCACCAUCGAUUAACAAUGGUUAAAAAUUGUUUUGUACCUUGGUCUGUUACACCUGCUAUGGUUUUUUCAUUAAAAAUUUGUAAUGCAAGAUUAACAUUUUGUCGUUCUAAGUUGUUAGGAUAACAAACUUUAUAUGAAAGACCGGGAGCUUUUUUUACAACAGAGAAUUUUUCAGAUUCAUAUAAAUUAAUUAUGUUUGUAAAUGAGCAGCAUAUUAUAGAAGAGUGAUCUGAAAAUGAAGGAGUAAAAAAGGUUUUUGUUUUUUCAUUAAGCCAAUUAUUACGUAUAUUUUUUAACAAGUGAACUGUAUCAAAAAGUAAGUAAAUUCUUUCAUUUUCAUUAUUAGGAUUCAAUAUAUAAGGGGCCAUAUUUCCGUUAGAUAAUUUUUUAAAUAAUUUUACAUUAACUUUGUUAUUGUCGGAAGUAAUUGAUACAACUCUAAAACUGGAACUGUGAAGCAAUUGUAAAACUUUAAUAGUAGUUUCAUGCAAAUAAUCUGCAUCUAACUUUUUCACUGGAAAUAACGCUACCAUUUCUUUGUUUUUACUUAAUACAGACUUAAACAUAAAUGCUUGAAUUGUGGUAGCAGCAUCUAGAUUAUCACUGUUUUCAGCUAACCCUACAAUUUUUCCCGCUGCGUAUGUUAUUUUAGGUUUAACGUGUAUUUCGUCUAUGUAAAGAGACACCAGACGUUCAUGGUCGUUUAAAUUUUCUGACUUUUUCCUUAAAUACAUCUGUAAUGACUCAUUAAUGCCGGAACCUAAAUUACUAUUAAUAUUAAAAGUUUUGAGAUAUGUUGGAUUAGGUAAUGUGAUUACAUUUUGCUCUCUUAAAAAUUUGUAAGCAGCGGGGAAAGUAAACGAAAAUGUGCAGCAAAAUAGUAGAAAAUCUGUGGAAUAGCAAUGUUUUUCUGACUUAAGAAAAUUUAGCUGUUCAAUGAAAAAUUUUGUUUUGCUAUUUUGUUGUUCUGUCUGACCUUUUCCAACAUACUCUGUAAUUAGGCUUGAUACCGUAUCAACUACUUCCGACCGGGUUACUUCUACCUCACUUAAAUUAUCAAGAGCAUUAACUAAAUCUCGUAAUUUACUGUAUGAGUCACAUAAUAAAUUUGGUCCUAAUAGAUACUGAUAUUUUUUUGUUUGCAGUGUAACUUUUUUAAAUAUUAUUGUAACAGUUAAGUUAUGAUUAAGUACUAUAGUUUUAACAAUUUCUGGGAUUGCGUUAAAAUCAAUUUUGAAAAAAUAAA